UGGACGACCAAAACAAACAUCUUUUAUCGUGGUUCUUGUUGACUGGUUAAAUCUGGAAGUUUAGCUAAUCGUUUUCACCGCAGGAAUAAGUAUAUUGGCGACGUAUAAAUACACCAUAUGGAAACAUUAUUGCUAAGACGCUGGUGCUGCUGUUUUCAAUCAGCACCCUCCGCUGGGUGGCGAGUUUGUUUUCCCGCAGCUGCUGGGCCCUUUGCUGGCUGGCGAACAGCAACCGAAAUCGAUAGGCCGUGUCGAUUUCGCGUGGUGAUGAUGGACAUGAUGAUCGUGGGAUGUGCUUUUGGCUGGAAGCAGAAACUCUUUACCCACGAUGGAACUUUCAGUGCAGUUGGUGGAACUAACGGUAGGUGCAAUCAGCCGAUUUUGCAUCCAUGUAUCCUGUCGACCUUCGACCAGAGGAUGAUAUAAGGACGUAUGCUUGGCCGUUGACUCACGCACCUUCCUGUCGACUUUCGACCAGAGGUUGAUACGUGCCGUGUGCUCAACCGAUGAAUCGUGGAUCAAUGAUCAUGUUGAUGACCAACGCUUGUAGAUCGAUGGCUAUUUAAAAUUUCACCCCUUCGA